UACGUAGGUGGCAAGCGUUGUCCGGAAUUAUUGGGCGUAAAGCGCGCGCAGGCGGCCUCUUAAGUCUGAUGUGAAAGCCCCCGGCUCAACCGGGGAGGGCCAUUGGAAACUGGGAGGCUUGAGUAUAGGAGAGAAGAGUGGAAUUCCACGUGUAGCGGUGAAAUGGCGUAGAGAUGUGGAGGAACACCAGUGGCGAAGGCGACUCUUUGGCCUAUAACUGACGCUGAGGCGCGAAAGCGUGGGGAGCAAACAGG
rnacentral:rRNA from 1 species